CAGCCUCGGGUGCCUGCCUCCUCUUCCUCAUUAGUCUCACUACUGGACACCACAAAAACUCCCAGGGCACCCAGAGAGCCAAUGAAGGGACACUGCUCACGGGGUUAGGGUCAUCUGGGUCAACUGCCCUCCCACUUGUGCUGAGAUUCACACUGCCCUUGGGCCCCGGUCAUCAUGUACAGCGGCCACGACACAUAAUGAAGAAAAAAAAAAAAAAGCCAGAUUUUUCCAUAUAGGGAAAAACCUGGAAGGUCUAAGGUGGUUUUUUUGUUUGUUUGUUUUUUGUUUUUUUUCCAGGCAGAGUUAGACAAUGAGAGAGACAGAGAGAAAGGUCUUCCUUUGCUGUUGGUUCACCCCCAAAGUGGCCGCUACGGCCGGUGCACUGCUUCCUCCUGGUCUCCCAUGCGGGUACAGGGCCCAAGCACUUGGGCCAGCCUCCACUGCCCUCCUGGGCCACAGCAGAGAGCUGGAAAGGAAGAGGGGCAACCGGGACUAGAACCUGGGGUGCCGGCGCCGCAGGCGGAGGACCAGCCAAGUGAGCCGCGGCACCGGCCAGGUGUCUUUUGCCAAGGCCUGAAUUUCAAAACACAAGGGCCUGGAGGGAAAAGGAAAGCCAGCACUUGUAACUUCUGAGUGCCUGCUAAGGGACCAGGAAGUGGGCCUCCUGUUAUCCAGGAUGAGCUACCGUGCGCCUCGUGGGUGCCACACCUUCUGUAUUCGCGCCAUGCUUUUAAUUUCCAAGCCCUUUUUAUAGAUGCAGAAACUGAGGCGUUGGAGGCACGCCAGAGCCCUGCUCUCCCCAGCCACCUCCUUUACUGAGAGAUUUAUGAGCUGUGGCCAGCUGAGCUGCUGACAGUGUCAGGCCGAACAUACUUAAGUCUUCAGGAGGGAAAAAUCAAUGCGCAUUACGGGGGCAGGGCAGGGCUAGCAGAGCAGCCAAGGGUGAAAGAGGCAGGUGCCGGGACUGCUCUGGGUUCGGCUCAUCCACUUAGAAGCCCAGCAGCACGCCCAACCCCACGUGCCUGCUGUUAAUGGUGCCUGUAAGUCUCAGAGAUGCAAUGGCUGCCCCCAGCUCCCUCGGGAGGCGUUGAGAGAGGCCACCAGGCCUGCUGCGCUCACCAUCAGGCGGCCCAGCCCCCUCUCCCUGCCUGGAGGGGCGGAGGCCCAGCCUGGCUGCUGUCUAGCAGCCAAGAAAGAACAAAAGGUUCAUUCUCUGACUCAGCUCCUCUGCUAAGCGGGUGGGGCGGUGUUGACUUACUUUUUUUUUUCCCCCUAUCAGAACAUAAGAGCUCCCCCGGGGCCUAGUGCAGACAGCACACUUGGACAGGCACAGGGAGCUGCUCAGUAGUAGACCGGCCACCUGAACCCCGUGGCCCGGACAACCAGGACAAAGACCCAGCCGAGCCAGGGGAAAGCGCCAUCGCAUUAGCCCAGCCUGAUGGCCUCUGGCAGGGUUCAAGGCUUGCAGGGAGGACCCUGAGAGCUGCAGGGCCGGCCGUGCAGGACUGGGCUGGUCAGAGAGCACAGGUGCCUCUGGCGUCCUCUCCCGGGCUAAGGGAAACACCUGGACCUCCUCGGGUAACACAGGGAGUGCUGUGUCACCCCACUGCUGGGGAAAGUUGGCCCAGGAAGCUAUGGAUUCUGCAGCCUCCAUCUACAACGUCUGAUUCCACCCCUACAACACCUCUCUCUGUCACAGGUGUCGCCUGUGAUCUCCGUCUUCAAGAUGGGAAGACGGAUCCACGGGGUGAACUCAUCUGUUCAAGCCAGCUGCAGAGCUGGGAUUCGAGCCACGUAUGACCGCGGGUCAGGACCGUUUUUGGAGGAACUAGCAGAGCCUGGAGGGUUAUCAUCUGUCACCCCCUGCCCCCGCACUGUUUUACAGACUGAGGCCGGGGGAAGCUACUGGGCCUUGGUGGAGGUGCUGCUCAUGGUGAGACAAACCCCGCUAGCUGCGGCGCUUGGACCGCUGCUCACUGCAAGUGGAGUCAAAAGUGCGUCUGUGUUUUGAGGCUUGGGUGAGAGCAUGUCACGGGCCUUCCUUACUGAAAAAGCACAAAACAAACGCUGGCUGCUAUCACGGUGACUGCCUAUGGCUGCCUCCCGCUUCCACGCAAUACCUGUCUGUGCUCAGCUUGCCUGGGCGGAUGUGGGGAGGGGCUGCAUCGCUAUUGAACAGACAGAAUGCUGGGGCUGAGAGGCCCCCUCAGCCUACAGCUCUUUCCAGAACACCCUGGUCUCCGCCUUUGGGCAGAGAUGGCAGCUGAGAGCUUGUCUCCAGCCCACAUGUGGUUUCCUGUUGUACAGUCUGUUCUCCGAGCAGUUUUAUUGAGGAAAAGAGUGGACACGUGGUGGGUGACGGCGAGUCACGUGACGUGCUGCCCUGCCCUGAGUUUACAGGAAAAGUAAAGGGAGGAUCCUUGACAGCCUGGGGGAGAAAUCUUCAGAAAAAAGAGCCUGGCUUCCCCACUGGGCACCAGAACUGGGCUCGGGAUUAGGAAGGCCUGGAAACCGUCACCAGAUUGGAGGAGAGCCAACUGCUGUCCAGUGAAUCAGGAAGCAGGGCUAAAGUGAACCAGCGUGCUUUGGGUCUGACAGUGGACAGGGAGGCCAGGGCUGUGAGGACAUGUUCCUCUCCGAAAGGAACACGCAGGCGUCCCUGCACCUGCCAUCCCACUGUGGGCCACAACCUGUUCCUGAAUCACAGAAAAGAGGUUGGCACUGUGGCACGGCAGGUUACGCCACCACCCGCAAGGCCACCAUCCCACAUGGGCGUCUGUUAGGGUCCUGGCUGCUCCACUUCCAAUCCAGUUCCCUGCUAACGUGCGUGGGAAAGCAGCAGAGGAUGGCCCAAAUGCCUGGGUCCCUGCCACUCAGAUGAAGCUCCUGGCUCCUGACUUCAGCCUGGCCCAGCCCUGGCCGUUGCAGCCAUUUGGGGAAUGAACCAGCGGAUGGAAGACCUCUUUCCCUCUCCAUCUCUCCCUCUCUGUUACUCCACCUUUGAAAGAAAUAAAUCAAUCUUUAAAAAAAGGAAUCAAGAGAUGGAAGGGGGUUUGGAGGGCAUCAAUGCACUACCCCCAUUUCCCAGAAAAAUAAAGACCAGCUGUUUACUGCCACUCACCCUGUGCCCUCACUGAGCUAAGCAGGUACGUGCCUUAGCCCCCACAGCAAUGCUGCUGCUAGGAUACGGGCACAACCUUCGCAGACUCAUGCAGACAGCCAGUUAGUACCAGGGCUAGGACUUCCUCUACCAACUGCUAGGUAUGUAACCUCAGGCGGAUACUCCUCCCCUCUCGCCUCAGUCUCCUCAUCUGUAGACUAGGGAUAAUAACAGCAUUUCCCUUAUAAGGGUGAUUGUGAGAAGCACAUUAAUGCAGGCAAAGUGCUUGAAGCACAUAUAUGGUCAAUGUUUGCUAUUGCUGCUGUUAUUAUCACCUAGGUACCCUUUCGCCUAUAAAAUGAAGAGCUCAUGGGCCUGCAUCGGGGCACAGCAGUGCUGCCUGCCUGUGACACCGGCGGCCCAUAUGGACACCAGUUCCAGGCCUGGCUGUUCCACUUUCUGAUCCAGCUCCCGGCUAAUGCGCUGGGAAAGCAGCGGAAGACAGUCCAAGUGCUUGAGCCCCUGUAUCCAUGAGGGAAACCUGCAAGAAGCUCCUGGCUCCUGGCUUUGUCCUGGCAGAGCCCUGGCCAUUGCAACCAUUUGGGGAGUGAACCAGUGGAUGGAAGCUAUCUCUAUCUGUCUAUCUGUCUCUCUCUCUUCCUCUCUCUGUAUGACUUUGACUUUCAAAUAAAUUUUUUUAAUGAAGAGGUAAGCUACAGCAUUUCUGAAGAACCCUAGGUUAUAUAAUAAAUCUACUGGGGCUGUGGCUCAGGCAUGGCUCUCAACCCUGGAAAAUGCAGGUCACCGUCUCACUGUCACCUCCCUAACAGGAAGACGUAGCCCAUAGAGAAGAUGUAUCACAGACACUCAGCUGGAAGUCAAAUCCCCUGAU